rnacentral:rRNA from 1 species
UACGUAGGGUGCAAGCGUUAAUCGGACUUACUGGGCGUAGAGCGUGCGCAGGCGGUUUUGUAAGUCUGAUGUGAAAUCCCCGGGCUCAACCUGGGAAUUGCAUUGGAGACUGCAAGGCUAGAAUCUGGCAGAGGGGGGUAGAAUUCCACGUGUAGCAGUGAAAUGCGUAGAGAUGUGGAGGAACACCGAUGGCGAAGGCAGCCCCCUGGGUCAAGAUUGACGCUCAUGCACGAAAGCGUGGGGAGCAAACAGG